rnacentral:ribozyme from 1 species
UUCCCAGCAAUUCUUGUCCCUACCUCCUCGUGGCACCGGCUGGGGUUGCGAGAACUAAAGGAAAUAUUCGGUAACCAACCCCGGUGGGAACUUUUAUCGUAUACUGAUAAGGAAUG